GAUGAACGCUGGCGGCGUGCCUUAUACACGCAAGUCGAACGCAUCCUUCGGGGUGAGUGGCGCACGGGUGAGUAACACGUGGGAACCUGCCUUGUGGUUCGGAACAACGUCUGGAAACGGACGCUAAUACCGGAUGUCCCUUGCGAGGGAAAGAUUUAUCGCCAUGAGAGGGGCCCGCGUCCGAUUAGGUAGUUGGUGGGGUAAUGGCCCACCAAGCCGACGAUCGGUAGCUGGUCUGAGAGGAUGAUCAGCCACACUGGGACUGAGACACGGCCAGACUCCUACGGGAGGCAGCAGUGGGGAAUAUUGGACAAUGGGGGCAACCCUGAUCCAGCAAUGCCGCGUGAGUGAUGAAGGCCUUCGGGUUGUAAAGCUCUUUCGCACGCGACGAUGAUGACGGUAGCGUGAGAAGAAGCCCCGGCUAACUUCGUGCCAGCCGCCGCCGUAA
rnacentral:rRNA from 1 species